CCUAAAUACAUGCAAGUCGAACGAACUCUGGUAUUGAUUGGUGCUUGCAUCAUGAUUUACAUUUGAGUGAGUGGCGAACUGGUGAGUAACACGUGGGAAACCUGCCCAGAAGCGGGGGAUAACACCUGGAAACAGAUGCUAAUACCGCAUAACAACUUGGACCGCAUGGUCCGAGUUUGAAAGAUGGCUUCGGCUAUCACUUUUGGAUGGUCCCGCGGCGUAUUAGCUAGAUGGUGGGGUAACGGCUCACCAUGGCAAUGAUACGUAGCCGACCUGAGAGGGUAAUCGGCCACAUUGGGACUGAGACACGGCCCAAACUCCUACGGGAGGCAGCAGUAGGGAAUCUUCCACAAUGGACGAAAGUCUGAUGGAGCAACGCCGCGUGAGUGAAGAAGGGUUUCGGCUCGUAAAACUCUGUUGUUAAAGAAGAACAUAUCUGAGAGUAACUGUUCAGGUAUUGACGGUAUUUAACCAGAAAGCCACGGCUAACUACGUGCCAGCAGCCGCGGUAAUACGUAGGUGGCAAGCGUUGUCCGGAUUUAUUGGGCGUAAAGCGAGCGCAGGCGGUUUUUUAAGUCUGAUGUGAAAGCCUUCGGCUCAACCGAAGAAGUGCAUCGGAAACUGGGAAACUUGAGUGCAGAAGAGGACAGUGGAACUCCAUGUGUAGCGGUGAAAUGCGUAGAUAUAUGGAAGAACACCAGUGGCGAAGGCGGCUGUCUGGUCUGUAACUGACGCUGAGGCUCGAAAGUAUGGGUAGCAAACAGGAUUAGAUACCCUGGUAGUCCAUACCGUAAACGAUGAAUGCUAAGUGUUGGAGGGUUUCCGCCCUUCAGUGCUGCAGCUAACGCAUUAAGCAUUCCGCCUGGGGAGUACGGCCGCAAGGCUGAAACUCAAAGGAAUUGACGGGGGCCCGCACAAGCGGUGGAGCAUGUGGUUUAAUUCGAAGCUACGCGAAGAACCUUACCAGGUCUUGACAUACUAUGCAAAUCUAAGAGAUUAGACGUUCCCUUCGGGGACAUGGAUACAGGUGGUGCAUGGUUGUCGUCAGCUCGUGUCGUGAGAUGUUGGGUUAAGUCCCGCAACGAGCGCAACCCUUAUUAUCAGUUGCCAGCAUUAAGUUGGGCACUCUGGUGAGACUGCCGGUGACAAACCGGAGGAAGGUGGGGAUGACGUCAAAUCAUCAUGCCCCUUAUGACCUGGGCUACACACGUGCUACAAUGGAUGGUACAACGAGUUGCGAACUCGCGAGAGUAAGCUAAUCUCUUAAAGCCAUUCUCAGUUCGGAUUGUAGGCUGCAACUCGCCUACAUGAAGUCGGAAUCGCUAGUAAUCGCGGAUCAGCAUGCCGCGGUGAAUACGUUCCCGGGCCUUGUACACACCGCCCGUCACACCAUGAGAGUUUGUAACACCCAAAGUCGGUGGGGUAACCUUUUAGGAACCAGCCGCCUAAAGGGGGGCCA
rnacentral:rRNA from 1 species